rnacentral:rRNA from 1 species
GCAAGUCGAACGGGGUUUAUAUAGCGGAACUCUCCGGAGGGAAGCCGUAUAAACCUAGUGGCGGACGGGUGAGUAACGCGUGGGGAACCUGCCCUGUACCGGGGGACAACAGCCAGAAAUGGCUGCUAAUACCGCAUAACCCUGCACUGCCGCAUGGCGGUGCAGGGAAAACUCCGGUGGUACAGGAUGGCCCCGCGUCUGAUUAGCUUGUUGGCGGGGUAACGGCCCACCAAGGCAACGAUCAGUAGCCGGCUUGAGAGAGCGGAC